UACGAAGGGGGCUAGCGUUGCUCGGAAUCACUGGGCGUAAAGCGCACGUAGGCGGCUUUUUAAGUCAAGGGUGAAAUCCUGGAGCUCAACUCCAGAACUGCCUUUGAUACUGAGAAGCUUGAGUUCGGGAGAGGUGAGUGGAACUGCGAGUGUAGAGGUGAAAUUCGUAGAUAUUCGGAAGAACACCAGUGGCGAAGGCGACUCACUGGACAGUGUAUUGACGCUGAGGUGCGAAAGCGUGGGGAGCAAACAGGG
rnacentral:rRNA from 1 species